rnacentral:lncRNA from 1 species
GGUGAUCCACCCGCCUUGGCCUCCCAAAGUACUGGGAUUACAGGCAUGAGCCACCGCACCCGGCCUUUAUUUCUUAAUGUGAUCAUCUGAGAAGAAAUUUGGUGCCUCGUUGCUCACCAUCACCACUGGCCCUGGUAGCUCUGCGGAUAAACCAGCUUGGAUUUCACCCUUGAGGAUUAACAUUGCAACACUGCAUAGGCACAUAAAGCCACCUGAAAGUCAAGAUGAGGCAGGUGGUGACACUGUACUUUGGGGCUGAAGUCUGAAACUUAACCAAUGGCAGUUCUGGUCCAGCCUGGAGAUGCUAAGUGACAGCUUGUUACCUUCAGCUUCAUUUAUUAACAUCAGCUGAAUAAACAAAUCCCGGUAGGAGCAGAGCCCCGCUGCCCAGGAACCCCUCCCACUGGUUCUCAAAACUCUCUGGUGAUUGGAAUUGAAGCCAUCUUGAGUAAGAAGGUCCC